UGGCGGACGGGUGAGUAAUGUCUGGGAAACUGCCCGAUGGAGGGGGAUAACUACUGGAAACGGUAGCUAAUACCGCAUAACGUCGCAAGACCAAAGAGGGGGACCUUCGGGCCUCUUGCCAUCGGAUGUGCCCAGAUGGGAUUAGCUAGUAGGUAAGGUAACGGCUUACCUAGGCGACGAUCCCUAGCUGGUCUGAGAGGAUGACCAGCCACACUGGAACUGAGACACGGUCCAG
rnacentral:rRNA from 1 species